rnacentral:rRNA from 1 species
UUUCUCCUUUCUGACGAACCAUGAUGUCAUUAAUUUGGUGUUAUGGGAAGUUAGGACUGUUACUUUGAAAAAAUUAGAGUGUUUAAAGCAGGCUUUGGCUUGAAUACAUUAGCACGGAAUAAUGAAAUAGGACGUUCGAACCUAUUUUGUUGGUUUCUAGGAUCAACGUAAUGAUUAAUAGGGAUAGUUGGGGGCAUUAGUAUUCAAUUGUCAGAGGUGAAAUUCUUGGAUUUAUUGAAGACUAACUACUGCGAAAGCAUUUGCCAAGGAUGUUUUCAUUAAUCAAGAACGAAAGUUAGGGGAUCGAAGACGAUCAGAUACCGUCGUAGUCUUAACCAUAAACUAUGCCGACUAGGGAUCGGAUGAUGUUAAUUUUUUAAUGACUCAUUCGGCGCCUUACG